CAAAAAGAUUAUUUUAUGGAGAACUCACAUAGGGUAAGUGCUCACAAGAUGGUCAGAAAAAGCAAUACAAGGACACUCUCAAGAUCUCUUUUUUUGUUAUUUUUUUCUGGUUAUACAUACAUGUACAUUCAUUUUUUAAAAAUACAUUUCUUUAUGAAUCAUGUUGGGAGAGAAAAAUUAGAACAAAAGGGAAAAACCAUGAGAAAAAAACAGAAGGAAAAGAAAAAAAAAAGUGAAAAUAGCAUGUGUUGAUUUACAUUCAGUUUUCAUAGUUCUCUCUCUGGAUGCAGAUGACAUUUUCUAUUCAAAGUUUAUUGGGAAAUGCCGUGGAGCACUGAACCACUGAGACGUAACAAAUCUUUCAUAACUGAUCAUAGCAUAAUCUUGCUGUUACUGUGUACAACAUAUCCCCGGUUCUGCUUGUUUUGCUCAGCAUCAGUUCUUAUAAAUCUUUCCAGGCCUUUCUAAAUCAGCCCGUUCAUCUUUUUUGCAGAACAAUAAUAUUUCAUUACUUUCAUAUACCAUAACUUAUUCAGCCAUUCUCCAACUGAUGGGCAUCUCUCCCUUUCCAAUUUUUGCCUCACAAAAAGAGCUACAUGUGGAUCCUUUCCCCUCUUUUAUGAUUUUUCAAGAUCUCUUUUCAAAACUUUACAAUUGAUCGUGUAACAUGGGAGGCACUGGCACAGAACGCCUGGCAUGGUGUGCCCUCGUCAGAAAAGGUGCUCUGCGCUAUAAGCAAAGCAGAAUGGAAUUAGCUCAGAAGAAAAGCAAAAGUUGGAGAAGCUUCAUCAAAUGUCCAUAGGAACUAUUUAUGUCUGAUAUGUGGCAGCUCAUUCUGAGUUCAUGUAGGUCUGAUCAGCCAGAGUCAGACUAACACAGUGAUGUCAUGUUGGUCCUCUUCGAGAACCAAGGAAAGCAAGCAUCCCUCCUGGGUUCUAAGUUCAUGAGCCCAUGACCUCUGAGGUUCCAUCCUGGGUUCUAAGUCCAUGAGCCCAUAACCUCUGAGGUUCCUUCCUGAGUUGCCAGACCAUGAGCCCAUGACCUCUGAGGUUCCUUCCUGAGUUGCCAGACCAUGAGCCCAUAACCUCUGAGGUUCCUUCCUGGGUUCUAAGUCCAUGAGCCCAUCACCUCUGAGGUUCCUUCCUGGGUUCUAAGUCCAUGAGCCCAUGACCUCUGAGGUUCCUUCCUGGGUUCUAAGUCCAUGAGCCCAUGACCUCUGAGGUUCCUUCCUGGGUUCUAAGUCCAUGAGCCCAUCACCUCUGAGGUUCCUUCCUGGGUUCUAAGUCCAUGAGCCCAUCACCUCUGAGGUUCCUUCCUGGGUUCUAAGUCCAUGAGCCCAUGACCUCUGAGGUUCCUUCCUGGGUUCUAAGUCCAUGAGCCCAUCACCUCUGAGGUUCCUUCCUGGGUUCUAAGUCCAUGAGCCCAUCACCUCUGAGGUUCCUUCCUGGGUUCUAAGUCCAUGAGCCCAUCACCUCUGAGGUUCCUUCCUGGGUUCUAAGUCCAUGAGCCCAUGACCUCUGAGGUUCCUUCCUGGGUUCUAAGUCCAUGAGCCCAUGACCUCUGAGGUUCCUUCCUGGGUUCUAAGUCCAUGAGCCCAUGACCUCUGAGGUUCCUUCCUGGGUUCUAAGUCCAUGAGCCCAUGACCUCUGAGGUUCCUUCCUGGGUUCUAAGUCCAUGAGCCCAUCACCUCUGAGGUUCCUUCCUGGGUUCUAAGUCCAUGAGCCCAUGACCUCUGAGGUUCCUUCCUGGGUUCUAAGUCCAUGAGCCCAUCACCUCUGAGGUUCCUUCCUGGGUUCUAAGUCCAUGAGCCCAUGACCUCUGAGGUUCCUUCCUGGGUUCUAAGUCCAUGAGCCCAUGACCUCUGAGGUUCCUUCCUGGGUUCUAAGUCCAUGAGCCCAUGACCUCUGAGGUUCCUUCCUGGGUUCUAAGUCCAUGAGCCCAUGACUUCUGAGGUUCCUUCCUGAGUUACCAGACCAUGAGUCCAUAACCUCUGAGGUUCCUUCCUGGGUUCUAAGUCCAUGAGCCCAUGACCUCUGAGGUUCCUUCCUGGGUUCUAAGUCCAUGAGCCCAUGACCUCUGAGGUUCCUUCCUGGGUUCUAAGUCCAUGAGCCCAUGACCUCUGAGGUUCCUUCCUGGGUUCUAAGUCCAUGAGCCCAUGACCUCUGAGGUUCCUUCCUGGGUUCUAAGUCCAUGAGCCCAUCACCUCUGAGGUUCCUUCCUGGGUUCUAAGUCCAUGAGCCCAUGACUUCUGAGGUUCCUUCCUGAGUUACCAGACCAUGAGUCCAUAACCUCUGAGGUUCCUUCCUGGGUUCUAAGUCCAUGAGCCCAUCACCUCUGAGGUUCCUUCCUGGGUUCUAAGUCCAUGAGCCCAUCACCUCUGAGGUUCCUUCCUGGGUUCUAAGUCCAUGAGCCCAUCACCUCUGAGGUUCCUUCCUGGGUUCUAAGUCCAUGAGCCCAUGACCUCUGAGGUUCCUUCCUGGGUUCUAAGUCCA